rnacentral:rRNA from 1 species
CCCUUAGAUGUUCUGGGCCGCACGCGUGCUACACUGAGUGGAUCAGCGGGUCAGGUUGCGCGAAAGCGUUUCCUAAUCUUUAAAUUCGCUCGUGAUGGGGAUUGACGGUUGCAAUUUUCUGUCAUGAACGAGGAAUACCUUGUAAGCGCGGGUCAUCAUCCCGCGCUGAAUACGUCCCUGCCCUUUGUACACACCGCCCGUCGCUCCUACCGAUUGAGUGGUCCGGUGAGGCUUUGGGAUCUGAGCGGAAAGAGCGUUUCGCUGUUUCUGCUCGGAAAACUCAGUCGAACCUUAUCAUUUAGAGGAAGGAGAAGUCGUAACA